rnacentral:misc_RNA from 1 species
GGAUAGAGACGGACCUUCAAGCCAAUGAUGUAAUUGAAGUUCAAAUACAAAACAAUUAUAAUUCUUACGGUUAUGGAGGCAAAAAGAGGCUAGUCCUCUCCACAACUACAUGGAUAGGUGGCAAAAAUAAUUCUCUAGGCAUUGCAUAUAUAUUCAUUGGUGGAUUGAACUUGCUCUUAGCAAUAAGCUUCAUCCUUAUUUUUGUUUUUAAGCCAAGGCCUUUGGGAGAUCCAA